CCGCUCCUCUUGACAUCCAGGGAUGAGCCAGCCCGAGGAGGAAGGAGCAAGAUGCUGGGUCUGGGGACCUUUUGAAUGGAAUUGGGAAGUAACCAGAAGAGAAAUGUCCAGAGGCAGGUGCACAGACGCCUGAGAGAGACGCCAUGCCCC